GACGAACGCUGGCGGCGUGCUUAACACAUGCAAGUCGAACGGAAAGGCCUUUUCGGAGGUACUCGAGUGGCGAACGGGUGAGUAACACGUGGGUGAUCUGCCCUGCACUCUGGGAUAAGCCUGGGAAACUGGGUCUAAUACCGGAUAGGACCGCACUUUAGUGUGUGUGGUGGAAAGUUUUUUCGGUGUAGGAUGAGCCCGCGGCCUAUCAGCUUGUUGGUGGGGUAAUGGCCUACCAAGGCGGCGACGGGUAGCCGGACUGAGAGGUUGGUCGGCCACAUGGGGACAGGGAUACGGCCCAGACUCCGGGGGGGGGAAGCGGGGGGGAAUAGGGAAAAAGGGGGGAAGGCCUGAGGGAGCGCCGCCGGGGGGGGGGUGAGGGCUUGGGGGUUGUAACCUCCGUCCGCCAGGGAAGAGGCGUUUUGGGACGGUACGGGGGGAGGAAGAACCGGAAAACUAGGUG
rnacentral:rRNA from 1 species